ACAAAAUUGAAUUAAAGAGGGAAGUACAGUGAUUAUGCUGCUAUUUGCACAUCUUACUGGUUCUCUUUGAGUUCCAAAAUGAAGUGCAUGGUAUACCACAUAGCACUUGAGGGCAAGAUUUUGCCACUCCUACUCAGAUUGAGUAGAACCUUCCUGAGUAUUCACCACUGAGUUCAAUAAGACUAUUCAUGGAAUAAGAGCCGGCUCUACUGGUUUUGCCGCCCCAAGCAGGACAUCUGAAGACACAAGCUGCCACUUAGGAAAGAGGCUGCCACCAAAAAUUGCCGCUGGCGCGGAAAGACGAGACACCGCCCUGACGGCACACAGACUGCCGCCCCUUUCACAGUGCUGCCCCAGGCACCUGCUUGGAAUGCUGGUCCCUGGAGCCGACCCUGGUUUCACUAGUUUUUCCACAGCAAAAAGGUCAUAUUCUGCAAUCCUUACUCUCACUGAGCAGUACUUUACUCUGCAAGUAGUGCUGUUGAAAUCAAGGGGGCUACGCAUGGUAUUAAGGUAUUAUGCAAAGUGAGUUAGGGUGGCAAAAUCUGCCCUUAACAGUGGGAGUAGAAUAGAUCAGCUAUUUUUGUCUCCUGAAUUUAACAUAAAGGGAGAUUGCAGCAGCAGUUUAAGAGCUGUCCCACAGCAAAAAGCACUCAACAGGAAAGUUAAUGUAGCUUUCAUGCAGUGUUGCCAACUCUUGUGAUUUUUAUUGUGAGUUUUUGAUAUCUGGGGCUUUCAUAAAGUCCCAGUUCUCAGAAGCAUGCGAUUGUCUGAGAAUUUUAGCUCUCAUUUUUUAAAAAUGAAAGUUUCUCUCUCUCUUUCAUGGUUGCUUACAAAACUUGAAAAUGUGAAACCCAAAGGCUGCGACAC